CUGAAGGCAUGAAAAAACUAUACUACCACCUUCACUGAAAGGGGAACGUGGUGAAAACUAGUGGAUCCUCCAAGCAACCACCUCAGGCUUAGAUUACAGCAAGGGACCCAGCACAAAUAUUGGCUGUGUGUAUGAAAAACCCCUUCACAUGUGCAGGGAAGCUGUUCAGCUUCUCUUGGUGUCAGGUUUUCCCUGCAGUCUCAGAGUAACUCAACAAUUAGUGUCAGGGCCUUCCUCUAAAGCUCAGGGAGAAGAAAAGCACAGUCAAAGGCUUGGCUUUAAGAAAAGAAACCAUAAAAGCCCCUUUCAAAGUUAGGAAUGUAAUUCCAAAACGAGUUAAGCAAGCCCUACACGUUAUUAGCUGGGCAGGAGGGAUCUGGGACAUGUGACAAUGGGAUCUUGGUACACAUCACCAAAAAAAAAAAAAAAAUUUCCAAGCCUUAGCAGGUGUAACCUAUUUAUCACUGUAAUUUUUACAGGCAGUUUGCUGAUAAUUCUGUACAGACAAACCACUCCUCCUGUCAGCACACGGCUGGCUGAUCUGCACCUGGAGCAGGAGCCCAGCAAAGACAGCUGAGAACACCUUGGAUUUCAAGUAACAAGAGUCUGCAUCAAAUGUACCAGAUCAGGGGAAACAGCACUCUCACAAACUGGGACCCUUCCAGCAUCGUAACAUCUAUUAAAGUGUCUCAAGAAUAACUACAUUAAAAAGAUCCACUUUCUCUUUAA